AUGAACGCUGGCGGCGUGCUUAACACAUGCAAGUCGAACGAUUAAAGCUCACUUCGGUGAGUGUAUAGAGUGGCGAACGGGUGAGUAACACGUAGGAAACCUACCCUUAAGAGGGGGAUAAUGUCGAGAAAUUGGCACUAAUACCCCAUAAGACUACGAAAUGAGAAGUUCGUGGUAAAAGUCUUGAGAAAUCGGGAUGCUGAAGGAUGGGCCUGCGGCCUAUCAGGUAGUUGGUGGGGUAAAGGCCUACCAAGCCUAAGACGGGUAGCCG
rnacentral:rRNA from 1 species